rnacentral:rRNA from 1 species
CCUACGGGUGGCUGCAGUGGGGAAUAUUGCACAAUGGGCGCAAGCCUGAUGCAGCCAUGCCGCGUGUGUGAAGAAGGCCUUCGGGUUGUAAAGCACUUUCAGCGGGGAGGAAGGCGUUAAGGUUAAUAACCUUGUCGAUUGACGUUACCCGCAGAAGAAGCACCGGCUAACUCCGUGCCAGCAGCCGCGGUAAUACGGAGGGUGCAAGCGUUAAUCGGAAUUACUGGGCGUAAAGCGCACGCAGGCGGUCUGUCAAGUCGGAUGUGAAAUCCCCGGGCUCAACCUGGGAACUGCAUUCGAAACUGGCAGGCUAGAGUCUUGUAGAGGGGGGUAGAAUUCCAGGUGUAGCGGUGAAAUGCGUAGAGAUCUGGAGGAAUACCGGUGGCGAAGGCGGCCCCCUGGACAAAGACUGACGCUCAGGUGCGAAAGCGUGGGGAGCAAACGGGAUUAGAUACCCGAGUAGUC